rnacentral:sRNA from 1 species
AAAUAGCCCUGAUAGAAGUGAAAAUCCUUUUAUUUUUGUUGAUUGCGCGGAACGAAGCAAUGACAUAAAUAAAAGAUUGUAGCGAAUAGCAGGAAAAGCU